AGGUAACUGCGUGGCAGCGGUGUCGGUAAUACGUAGGGUGGUUGCGUGAUGCGGGUUUACUGGGCGUAAAGGGUGCGUAGGUGGUCCUUCAAGUCGGUGGUUAAAGGCUACGGCUCAACCGUAUUAAGCCGCCGAAACUGGAAGACUUGAGUGCAGGAGAGGAAAGUGGAAUUCUCAGUGUAGCGGUGAAAUGCGUAGAUAUUGAGAAGAACACCAGUAGCGAAGGCGGCUUUCUGGACUGUAACUGACACUGAGGCACGAAAGCGUGGGUAGCAAACAGGAUUAGAUACCCCAGUAGUC
rnacentral:rRNA from 1 species